GACGAACGCUGGCGGCGUGCUUAACACAUGCAAGUCGAACGGAAAGGCCCUGCUUUUGUGGGGUGCUCGAGUGGCGAACGGGUGAGUAACACGUGAGUAACCUGCCCUUGACUUUGGGAUAACUUCAGGAAACUGGGGCUAAUACCAGAUAGGAGCUCCUGCUGCAUGGUGGGGGUUGGAAAGUUUCGGCGGUUGGGGAUGGACUCGCGGCUUAUCGGCUUGUUGGUGGGGUAGUGGCUUACCAAGGCUUUGACGGGUAGCCGGCCUGAGAGGGUGACCGGCCACAUUGGGACUGAGAUACGGCCCAGACUCCUACGGGAGGCAGCAGUGGGGAAUAUUGCACAAUGGGCGGAAGCCUGAUGCAGCAACGCCGCGUGCGGGAUGACGGCCUUCGGGUUGUAAACCGCUUUCGCCUGUGACGAAGCGUGAGUGGCGGUAAUGGGUAAAGAAGCACCGGCUAACUACGUG
rnacentral:rRNA from 1 species